CGGCUUUGUAACGGAGAUGAGCAUCGCACCCUAGAGCCGGAAACGACUAGCAAGUAUUAUGUGCGAAGGGAACCUUUUCCUUUACCUAAGGUGUAAUGAAGGAGUUGGACCACAUCAGGGGUGUCAACUCAAAGCAAAGGGGCCGGAUCUUGCCCACAGGGUGCUUAGAUCUGGUCCACGGGACUGGCCUGGAAACAGCAAAGGACCAGCCCACGGUGUCUCUGCCAGUAAAAACAGAACUCAAGUUUCGGCUGCAACGGCCUCUUGCAACCCACUGCCAGCGAAAAUGGGGCCCGGGAGGAGGGGGCUGCAUGUGGCACCUCCCGAGCUCCGUUUUUGCUGGCAGAGGGCUAUCAAAACAAACUUUAAAACAAAACAAAAGGAGAAAUGUUUCCCCUUUUGCAUUUGAGCAUGCAAGAAGGGACAGGAAAGGAGAGAGGAAAAGAGGAAAGACAAAGAGAAAGAAGGGAAGGUGGGAAGAGAGCAAGGAAGGAAAAAUCAGGAAAGAGGGGAAGGAAGAAGAACGGAGAAUGAAGAGGGAAGGGAAAAGAAGAAAAGGAAGGGAAGAUGGGAAGAGAGCGAGGAAGGAAAAAGGAAAGGGGAAGGAAGGAGAAAGGAGAAUGAAGAGUGAAAGAAAAGAGAAGGGAAGGAAGGAAGGAAGGAAGGAAGGAAGGAAGGAAGGAAGGAAGGAAGGANNNNNNNNNNGGAAGGAAGGAAGGAAGGAAGGAAGGAAGGAAGGAAGGAAGGAAGGAGAGAUAAUGAGAGUGAAGGAGGGUCUCAGGGAAGUCCUGCAUUAGCACUUGGCCACCACAGGUGCCCCCAACACGAGUCCUGUGCCAUGCCCCAUCAUGGCCACGCCCAUGCCUGGCCACGCCCACCAUGCGCCCCCCCCCCCGGCCCACCAAGGUCAAACACAACCCUGAUGCUCCCCUCAAUGAAAUCAAGUUUGACACCCCAGACCACAUAAUGUCUUAUGGAAAAGAUGGGUUUGAAGAACUACUGGGGUGGGGGUGGGGGAAUGAGACAGAAAUAAACCAUGGUUU
rnacentral:lncRNA from 1 species